GAUGAACGCUGGCGGCGUGCUUAACACAUGCAAGUCGAACGGAAAGGCCCAAGCUUGCUUGGGUACUCGAGUGGCGAACGGGUGAGUAACACGUGGGUGAUCUGCCCUGCACUUCGGGAUAAGCCUGGGAAACUGGGUCUAAUACCGGAUAGGACGAUGGUUUGGAUGCCAUUGUGGAAAGUUUUUUCGGUGUGGGAUGAGCUCGCGGCCUAUCAGCUUGUUGGUGGGGUAAUGGCCUACCAAGGCGUCGACGGGUAGCCGGCCUGAGAGGGUGUACGGCCACAUUGGGACUGAGAUACGGCCCAGACUCGGACGGGAGGCAGCAGUGGGGAAUAUUGCACAAUGGGCGCAAGCCUGAUGCAGCGACGCCGCGUGGGGGAUGACGGCCUUCGGGUUGUAAACUCCUUUCGCUAGGGACGAAGCGUUUUUGUGACGGUACCUGGAGAAGAAGCACCGGCUAACUACGUG
rnacentral:rRNA from 1 species